UACAGAGGUCUCAAGCGUUGUUCGGAUUCAUUGGGCGUAAAGGGUGUGUAGGUGGCGCGCUAAGUCGGGUGUGAAAUUUCGGAGCUUAACUCCGAAACUGCAUUCGAUACUGGCGUGCUUGAGGACUGGAGAGGAGACUGGAAUUCAUGGUGUAGCAGUGAAAAUGCGUAGAUAUCGUAAGGAAGACCAGUGGCGAAGGCGGGUCUCUGGGACAGUUCCU
rnacentral:rRNA from 1 species